CUUUCAGCCUGGGAACGACGCUGAUAACACCGAUGGUUUUAGUUGUUGCUAAGUGAUGUUUACUCCGAUCAAGGCCUUUCUUAGUCUCAUGUUCUGCCGGGAGGAAGCAGAGACAGGA